rnacentral:tRNA from 1 species
GACCGCUUUGCGCAGUUGUAGCGCCUUCGGCUCGAGAUCGAAAGGUUGGGCGUUCGAUUUGCUCAGUGGUCA